UGAGGAAUGUCGUGUCCAGCUCCUU
rnacentral:miRNA from 1 species